UAAAAGUUAGUUAAUUUAUAUAACAUUAAAUUGUCAAUUUAAAAUAAUUUUAAUUAAUAAAUACUUUUAA
rnacentral:tRNA from 1 species